UACGGAGGGGACUAGCGUUGUUCGGAAUUACUGGGCGUAAAGCGCACGUAGGCGGAUUUGUAAGUCAGGGGUGAAAUCCCGAGGCUCAACCUCGGAACUGCCUUUGAUACUGCAAAUCUCGAGUCCGGAAGAGGUGAGUGGAAUUCCUAGUGUAGAGGUGAAAUUCGUAGAUAUUAGGAAGAACACCAGUGGCGAAGGCGACUCUCUGGUCUGUAACUGACGCUGAGGCGCGAAAGCGUGGGGAGCAAACAGG
rnacentral:rRNA from 1 species